rnacentral:lncRNA from 1 species
GCUGAACUCAUAAGUCACUCAUCUGCUCAAAGCCUCCCAGUGGCUUCUCAUCUCACAGACCUCACCACAAUGUUCCAUUGGCCAGUGCAAGAGAAACCAGGAUGCUUCCUCAUACUGCACAUCUUUAUCUGAGAACCAAAGGACAAAUAUGGGUGUCACAUGCCAGCUCCUUCUACCUCCUUCUGAAACCAGAGGACUGGAUUGGAACCAACAGAG